rnacentral:misc_RNA from 1 species
GUUUUUUAGUCUCAAAAUCCCAUCAAUCCUUUUUGAAUAUUAAAUUUAAAAUGAUUCCAGGACAUCCAUAUGAAAUCAGUUUAUUGAAGAAAAUGCCAUCUUAAUGUUUCUCAAGUUUGCUACACACGCGCACACACACAUAUAUUUAUAAUAGAAACUAUAAAGAAUCAAGUGCAAUCAACUAUAUGAAUCUUCCCAUCCAUUCAUGUUAUAGAGCAUCAAUCAAGAUAAUGGAAUGCUAACAGUUAAAGGUAUUGCAUCACAUUCUGAACAAUUAGAGAAACGACAGGCUAUAGUCAGAUCA